rnacentral:rRNA from 1 species
AUUGAACGCUGGCGGCAGGCCUAACACAUGCAAGUCGAGCGGAGUGGCGGACGGGUGAGUAAUGCAUAGGAAUCUGACUGGUAGCGGGGGAUAACGUCCGGAAACGGGCGCUAAUACCGCAUCCUAUCAGAUGAGCCUAGGGCGGAGUAGCUAGUUGGUGGGGUAAAGGCAUACCAAGGCGACGACCCGGAACUGGUCUGAGAGGAUGAUCAGUCACACUGGAACUGAGACACGGUCCAGACUCCUACGGGAGGCAGCAGUGGGGAAUAUUGGACAAUGGGCGAAAGCCUGAUCCAGCCAUGCCGCGUGUGUGAAGAAGGUCUUCGGAUUGUAAAGCACUUUAAGUUGGGAGGCGUUACCAGCAGAAUAAGCACCGGCUAACUUCGUGCCAGCAGCCGCGGUAAUUC